GGGCCGGUAGCUCAACGGUAGAGCAGUACCCUUUUAAGGUAUUGGUUCAGGGUUCGAAUCCCUGCCGGCUCA
rnacentral:tRNA from 1 species